AUGUUAUUGGCAUUUGAUUUGACUGGAGGCAGAAUAAUAAUUCACCUAUGACAUUAUUUUAGCAAUUGAGAUGGAGUGGAAACAACUUGAAAAAAGACAAAGAAGAAGCAUUAAAGAUUUAACUUAAUCUUAUUUAAAAAUCACUAAAUUUGGAGGCUGGUGGAGAUUUGUGAUAAAAGAAAACAGUGAGCAGAAGAUUACUGAACCCAGGUCCUUAUGGAAGGUGUCACCAACAAUGGUUACCCAGAAUGAAAUACCAAGUAAAGUGUCACAGAUAGAUUACCGCUCAUGACAAAGAGGAGAUUUGCUUAACUGAGACUCAGAACAAUCUUGGAACGGGUGAUAGCGUGUGGUGCCUCCGGAAUGAUGGGAUUGGGAUUGGAAGAAGUCUGCCUGCGUCACUGAAAAUGAUCACAGUGAGCAUCCAUGAGGGGCUGAUCCCAAGCAAGCUGGCAGCAACCUGUUCGAUCAAUUGGAAAACAUAAUGGAACAUCAGUGAGGCCACUUCCCGCAGCUUGACAGGCUGUCUCUUUGCUCUUACUGCUCUGUUUCUUGCCUGGUGCCACUCUAUUAUGAUCUGGGAU
rnacentral:lncRNA from 1 species